GACGAACGCUGGCGGCGUGCUUAAUACAUGCAAGUCGAACGGAAAUGCUCUACUUUUGUGUGGUUCUCCAGUCGCGAACUGGUUAGUAACGCGUACGUAACCUGCCCUUGACUUUAGGCUACCCUCAAGAAACUGGUGACAAUACCAGAUAGGUGCUCCUGCUGCAUAACCAUAGUUACAAAGUUUCGGCGGUUUGGGAUGGACGCGCGGCUUAUCAGCUUGUUGGUGGGGUAGUGGCUUACCAAGUCUUUGGCGGGUAGCCGGCCUGAGAGGGUGACCGGCCACAUUGGGACUGAGAUACGGACCAGACGCCUACGGGAGGCAGCAGUGGGGAAUAUUGCACAAUGGGCGGAAGUCUGAUGCAGCAACGCCGCGUGCGGGAUGACGGCCUUCGGGUUGUAAACCGCUUUCGCCUGUGACGAAGCGUGAGUGACGGUAAUGGGUAAAGAAGCACCGGCUAACUACGUG
rnacentral:rRNA from 1 species